GGGCUGGCUUUAGCUCAGCGGUUACUUCGACCAUUCUUUGAUUGCAACAACAACCUCUCUCGGUUGUUCGAGACCCGGGGGCGCUCUCCAGUCCUUUU
ensembl:vault_RNA Vault Vault RNA